CUUCUCUCCAUAACAGCCCAGGGAGGGGCGAAGAUCAUCCACAAUAAUCAGAAGGACAUUCAGAGCAUCUGCACAGGAGGGAGGGGCUUUGGUUACAUCACAUACACAGACACUGAAACCCGACUACCAUCAAGGUGAUAGUUAAACGAAAAUGAGAAGGAAAGAAGCAAACCACUUGAUGGUGUAUAAAGAGGGAACGGCAAUUAUGGAGCAGAGUUAAGAGAGAUGGUGACUGGAACCGGCCAAGAAGAGAGCUCCGGAGAAAGAAGAGAUGGGCACAAUGGUGGGAGUUGGAUUCCUGUGACAAGAAUUAUUCCCUGCUCAUUUUGGACUGAAGACCAAGAAAGACUCCAUGUCGUAUCUCUAUGAAAUGGAGUUUCUGAAAAACUAGAACCUCUAUCUAAAUAUUGAUAUUGUGGCAUCUUACCCUCCAGACAACAUGUUAAACUAAAGAUCAGCUUCAUCAGAAAACUGACUCUGGAGGCUGGAGUGAUGGCCCAGUGAUUAACAGAAUUUGCCUUGCAAGCAGUAUGUACCGCAACUUCAACUUCCAAAGAGAUAAGCCUGGACUGUUUCAGUAUAUCUGGGGAAAAGAAGACAUAGGCAGUCUUGCCAACCAAGCUACCUGUGUACCUGUUCCACUUAAAUCUUCUCGAGGGCCAACUUCAAAAAAAGAGAAGAUCUUACCUACCAGAUAUUCUCCACGAUUCUAUCACAAACCUGAGGAAGAAGAGUCCAAGAAGAAGAACUCCAGUGAUAAGCCACCUAAAGAAAAUCACGACUUUGUAUUCUCUUCUAUAUGGGCGAUGAAAGCUAUUCCUGGAUGUUACCUACAAUAUCAGCCAUUUGGGGAGUCAAGAAACCCACCUGUGGAAGACACCUCUCAAAAUACUAUAUAUAUAUAUGCCUCCAACUGCUCCUGGAGUCCAAGACACGGAAGAAGUACCCAGUGUCAGCUCAUCAGGGUACCGCAUUUUGCAUUUUAUGGUGUGUCUGUACAACGAUUGUUGUUCUGCCCUAUUGUCUGCCUUCUCACGAAGGUAAACACAUGAAUCCCCUAAUGAAGAAGAGCAGGAAGGCUCCUCAGAUUAUAAGUGUGUAAUCUGUGAGCCUAUAACCAAUUUCACUUAUGAAAUCACAGGGAAAUGUAAACUAGUAAAAAUGUUUUAAGGUUCGUCCAAUUUUGCUAUCAAAAUGGAUAAAUUCAAUGAUGGCAAAUAAAUAAUCUAAACUA